rnacentral:rRNA from 1 species
GACGAACGCUGGCGGCGUGCUUAACACAUGCAAGUCGAACGGAAAGGCCUCUUUCGGGGGGUACUCGAGUGGCGAACGGGUGAGUAACACGUGAGUAACCUGCCCUUGACUUUGGGAUAACUUCAGGAAACUGGGGCUAAUACCGGAUAGGAGCUCCUGCUGCAUGGUGGGGGUUGGAAAGUUUCGGCGGUUGGGGAUGGACUCGCGGCUUAUCAGCUUGUUGGUGGGGUAGUGGCUUACCAAGGCUUUGACGGGUAGCCGGCCUGAGAGGGUGACCGGCGACAUUGGGACUGAGAUACGGCCCAGACUCCUACGGGGGGCAGCAGUGGGGAAUAUUGCACAAUGGGUGGAAGCCUGAGGUAGCAACGCCGUGGGCGGGAUGACGGCCUUCGGGUUGUAAACCGCUUUCGCUCAUGACGAAGCUUUGUGUGACGGUAGUGGGUAAAGAAGCACCGGCUAACUACGUG